rnacentral:rRNA from 1 species
UACGUAGGGUGCAAGCGUUGUCCGGAAUUAUUGGGCGUAAAGAGCUCGUAGGCGGUCAAAUAAGUCAACUGUUAAAUCUUGAGGCUCAACCUCAAAAUCGCAGUCGAAACUAUUCGACUAGAGUAUAGUAGGGGUAAAGGGAAUUUCCAGUGGAGCGGUGAAAUGCGUAGAGAUUGGAAAGAACACCGAUGGCGAAGGCACUUUACUGGGCUAUUACUAACACUGAGAGACGAAAGCUAGGGUAGCAAAUGGG